GCGCAGCAGCAUGGGGCAACGACGAGACAGCGAGUGGGGUUGGCGAGGCGGGCGGAAGGGAUGCGCUGCUGCAGGGACACCGGGUCGGCCGGCCACAGGCGAGCGCUGCUCUUCCCGGUAGCGAAGAGGCCACGCGUGGGCGGGCAGAGGCCCGUCACGUGCCGGGGAGCGCCGCCCCCUCCCCCCCCCCCCCCCGUUGGCGGCGGCGGCCAUGGCGGCCAAGAGGGGCACAGACGAGAUGCGGGACCGCGUGGUGCUGGGCGAGUUCGGCGUCCGCAACGUCCACACCACCGACUUCCCCGGCAACUACCCCGGCUACGAGGACGCCUGGGACCAGCGGCGCUUCGAGGAGGCGUUCCGCGUGGACAUAAUCCGCGAGGAGGAGGGCGCGCUGGAGUUCGACAUGGUGGGCAUCGACGCCGCCAUCGCCAACGCCUUCCGCCGCAUCCUGCUCGCCGAGGUGCCAACGAUGGCUGUAGAGAAAGUCUUUGUGUACAACAACACAUCCAUUGUGCAGGAUGAAAUUCUGGCUCAUCGGUUGGGCCUCAUCCCUAUCCGAGCUGACCCUCGACUCUUCGAAUAUAGAAACCAAGGAGAUGAAGAAGGCACAGAAAUUGAUACUCUGCAGUUCCAGCUGAAAAUAAAAUGUAGCCGAAACCCUCAGGCAGCCAAGGAAUCAUCUGAUCCUAAUGAACUAUAUUUCAAUCACAAAGUGUACAGUAAACAUAUGACAUGGGUGCCCUUGGGGAAUCAGACAGAGCUCUUUCCAGAUGCUGACUUCCGACCUGUUCAUGAUGACAUCCUCAUCGCACUAUUGCGACCUGGCCAGGAAAUAGAUGUGCUUAUGCAUUGUGUCAAAGGUAUAGGUAAAGAUCAUGCCAAGUUUUCUCCUGUGGCCACGGCUAGUUAUCGACUGCUUCCUGACAUUACUCUCCUGCAGCCUGUUGAGGAUGAGGCAGCUGAGGUGUUGCAGAAGUGCUUUUCCCCUGGAGUCAUUGAGAUCCAGAACAUCAAAGGAAAAAAGGUGGCAAGAGUAGCCAAUGCACGGUUGGACACGUUCAGCAGAGAAGUUUUCCGUCACGAGGGUCUGAAAAACCUUGUGCGCCUGGCAAGAGUGCGAAACCAUUACAUCUGUCUAUGUUCACAGUCCGGGCAACCUCGAUGCAGUGAUGUCUGCCUGAGUUUGCAGAGAGUCUGAGUUAGCUCCGAAAUGGCAACUACCCCAUUUCUCUCUGCAAGUGUUAAAUACUUCCCUGCUCACUGCACGUGAGGAAGGCAAGUAUGUAACUUACAGUUCAUGGGUCCAGUAUCAACAGGAGCUGUGAGUUGGUACUUCAGCCAUUCACCGGCCAUCUGGAAGCCAGUUCGAGGGUCCAGACGACAAGCCAUCCUCAUCACCUCUCCUUGCUGGGCUCGGAAAGCUGCAGUGAAAAAAUCAGACACCAUGCAACAAGCUGAUGCUGCGAACACUCCCUUCCCCAAAGCUCACCCGCAGCUUUGCAGCCCUGGGAACAUUAUGGACUGUUGCUCUGGCAACAGCUGUGCAGUAAGCUCUGAUAUACAGUCAGUAAACUGGGUGUAACAGGAUGGGCAAUUCUGAAGCAAUUUAAAUGGACUAAAAAAUGAUGGAUUAACAAAAAAAGAAGUGCAAUUAAAAUGCAAUAUGAAUUAUGAAAAAUCUAUACUAAACCCAGAUUUACUACAAUUAAACCUCUAUUUUUCAUUUUAAAAGUUAUUAAAACUAUACAUGUUUGCUGCUGCUGAAGCACCUUGAGAUACUGAGAUAGAAAACCAGCAUUAGGUAAUGACCACUUCCUUCAGCUAAACACACAUUUUCUAAAUUAUUUAGCUUAACCUAGUUCACAUUCUAGGCUGACAAACUAAUGGGAACUCAAAAAACCCAAAGGAGUCUUGUUUUCAAUUUCAAAGAUAUUAAAAGCGAAGCACAGAACAAGAAUUUCAUUUGUUCCAAAAUAUUCUAGUACACAACCACAGAAAACAAUCAGCUCUGCUGACUAUAGAUGCAAGCUGCAUUGUUUAAAAAAGUUGUUUUAUCAAGUAAUUUUGUGUUUCAAGACAGUUUUAUUUUCUUAUACUUGUAAUACACCUUCAAUAUAAUUUAACUCCCUGAAACUAUUUCAAAUGCUGGCUUUGUGUAUUUAGCUACUUUUUGAUUUCCACCCAAAUAGUUUUUUUUUUUUUUACUUACUGCAAUGUAUCUAUCUAAUACACAAUUAAAAACUGCAACACUUAAAAUCUUCAAACCUAAA